GGUGGCUAUUUUGUGUUUGUGGACCAUUGCCGAAUUGCAGUGUGCUCUAUUCCGCGGAUCUAUCUAUCGGCAUUUUCGCUUCCAUUUCAAUUGUCCAGCAGGAAGAUAAAAAUGUAAACCUGUAACGCAUAAUUGCGUACUUUUAGUGGGAAAUUAAUCCGUGCUUCCACUUUCACCAAUAGUUAGUGAAUCGCCCUCGAGCACGUCUGAUUUUUUCGCGAAGGUGUGUCCUUUCAGCCUCGGUUCGCAGUGAAUUUUGUAGCGAAGAAUGCGGCCCACCUCAAUUUUCGGCAUACCUGAAAUAGUGUAGUGGGCGGAAAUGUGAACACCAUAUCCUUCGUUGGAUGCAAAACGAUUUGAAGAACGAAUAGUGAAGGUGAUUUUGUAAAAUAUUUGGCCAAACAGUGAGGGAUUCGGCUUCUGAAUUAGGUACAUGUUGCUUGUUUGAUCGAACUCCAUUUGAGGAUUAUCAAAAUUGCCUCCGACGGAAGAAGAUCUCCUCGUAAAGGUAUUGCUCGAGGAUUCCCCGGACGUGGAGGCAUUGUUGCGGCUGAGUGUGCCCGUUUAGAUAUCGAAGG